AGAGCACAGGAAAGUGCAGCACUGGGAAGAAAAUCUGGGAUCAAUAUGUAUACUUGAGAAAGACAGCCUGUGAACAUUGAAUUGGAAGUCUACUUCAUCAUCUCCCUGGGGUUGGAAAAUGCAUCACAUCCUUCAAAGAAAGAAACUCACCUUUCGAGGAGACUAGUAACAUGUCUCUGAAACUGGGCCCAAGUACUGCCUUCCAUUUCCUCAACUAGUCAACAUUUUUCUCCUCACCCCUAACAAUAUUCCUAAGUAAUAAUAAUAAAAAAAAAGCUGUUAUCUCCAUACUACCAGUGAGAUGGAUGACCACCACCAUUGACUGCUUGCUGUGGCUGUUUUAGCUGUGGCCUAAGUUGGGCACGGUGGAAGAUGGAUUGAGACAGAACUUACAUAACUGCAGUGCCAUGGAACAAUGUCGAGCCAGAAGAAUGGGACACAGACUGUUACUAUUGUGAGAGAACCUUUGGCUGGGACUGGACAGGAAUGGUAGUUCCUAUGAAAGUUGAGCUGCUGGUGAGAUCGUGCCAAGAAGACCGAUCCCAAACCUCAGUCCUUUUCUCCUGUUUCCUCUGGUUGGUUGUUCAUAGAGUUGAUAUCAGCAAGUUCCAGAAACAGUUCUUUCCUUUGUUCUUUGCCUUGUCUAUAAGUUGGAAGGAGGUUUCGGGGAAGACUCAAGGGAAGCAGUUUCUUUACAACUUUGCUAUGUGAUAGCUUCUUUACUGUGUUUUAAUAAACCAUGUGGC
rnacentral:lncRNA from 1 species